rnacentral:rRNA from 1 species
CUUCGGAGUGAGCGGCGGACGGGUUAGUAACGCGUGGGAACGUGCCCUUCUCUAAGGAAUAGCCACUGGAAACGGUGAGUAAUACCUUAUACGCCCUUCGGGGGAAAGAUUUAUCGGAGAAGGGUCGGCCCGCGUUAGAUUAGAUAGUUGGUGGGGUAAUGGCCUACCAAGUCUACGAUCUAUAGCUGGUUUUAGAGGAUGAUCAGCAACACUGGGACUGAGACACGGCCCAGACUCCUACGGGAGGCAGCAGUGGGGAAUCUUGGACAAUGGGCGCAAGCCUGAUCCAGCCAUGCCGCGUGAGUGAUGAAGGCCUUAGGGUCGUAAAGCUCUUUCGCCAGAGAUGAUAAUGACAGUAUCUGGUAAAGAAACCCCGGCUAACUCCGUGCCAGCAGCCGCGGUAAUACGGAGGGGGUUAGCGUUGUUCGGAAUUACUGGGCGUAAAGCGCACGUAGGCGGAUCAGAAAGUAUAGGGUGAAAUCCCAGGGCUCAACCCUGGAACUGCCUUGUAAACUCCUGAUCUUGAGUUCG